rnacentral:lncRNA from 1 species
UUUCACUGGAGCAGUCGGGGCUCCAAACAUUCCUUUCUGCCCUGAAGGGUUUUCCUCAUUGUUGUUGUCUUUGUGCUCCAGUGUUGCCAACUUACUGGAAUUCCUGACGUGGUUGCACAGCGGGCCCGGGCUGACCGUACAGCCAGCUGCGUUUGUGUCUGGGGCCGACCCCGCCGCUAAUCCCAGAAUAGUGCAGAAGGAGAAGGCGCGGAGAGGAGGGGCGCGGAGCAUCCCGCCUCGCUCGCACUUUUCUACCCCCUCCCCCGCAAAAGUAAUUCCAAAUUCGUGGCGGUUGUAAACAGCCUGGCCCAUGCCCGCGUUUAUCUCUGGCUUCUAUACCUGAGAAUGCUUGUGGAAAGACCGGGAGGACCGAGCCUGUGGGUCGGCAUCCGGGGAAGCACAGGCGGAUUCACUUUUAACUUAAGCCAGCAUCAUUUUUCUCCAGUACAAAGGAAGGACUUCCAAAGUCAACGUGACUUCCAAGCAGAGAUAGUGAAUGCAGACACCUGACCAAGCCCUACGAGAAGUUGUAUUCUAUUUGGACUGAAGCUAAAGCUGUCACCAUGACCCUUCUGGAAGAAUUAUAUCAAAGAAGUGGUUUAAAAAUCUGACUCCCAGAUUAAGGGGGACCAUCUUGGAUUACUCGAUUACUGUUUUUUGGUUUUUGGGGGGUUUUCUUUGAUUACUGUUAAUCCAAUACCAAAGACAGCAUUUCAAUGAAGGUCUAAAAUGUGCAUAUGCAACUCCCUGUCAAAAUGUCAAGCCACUGGGCAUGGUGGUGCACGCCUGUAAUCCCAGCUCUCGGGAGGCUGAGGCAGGAGGAUUGUUGCGAGUUUGAGACCAGCUUGGGCUACAAAGUGAGCUCAAGGCCAGCCUGAACUGCAUAGCGAGACCCUGUCUCAAAGAGACAAAAAAAAAAAAAAAAUUUUCAGUAAGUGUUCUGUACAAAAGUUCCUACAAGUCAUUAGAGGGUUUCUUCAUUCAUGAAACUUUUUAUCCAAAUAAAAUCUGAUUAAAGAAAAGAAACUUUGUGUCCAAUAAAUAAUCUCUGAUGCCCUUCACAUCACCCCUCCCAGGAACCUG